GGAACAGGGGUUGGCAGCAGGUAGUCUAGCAUUAAGAGCUGACUAAGUGUAAAACCUACAGGGUGGUACUAGGAACAGGGAUUGGCAGCAGGUAGUCUAGCAUUAAGAGCUGACUAAGUGAAAAACCUACAGGGUGGUACUAGGAACAGGGGUUGGCAGCAGGUAGUCUAGCAUUAAGAGCUGACUAAGUGUAAAACCUACAGGGUGGUACUAGGAACAGGGAUUGGCAGCAGGUAGUCUAGCAUUAAGAGCUGACUAAGUGAAAAACCUACAGGGUGGUACUAGGAACAGGGGUUGGCAGCAGGUAGUCUAGCAUUAAGAGCUGACUAAGUGUAAAACCUACAGGG